rnacentral:lncRNA from 1 species
AUUAUAGACUGCCACCCCUGCCCUUAGACAUAAAAGUUGCCAUUGGCAAUACAGAACUCGGAAGAGUUUCGAGUCGCACAAAAUCAAGGAUUGUGUCUUGGUUAAGCCACCAUUUGAUGAACUUCACUGUAUACCCAGGAAGGCUCUAUGAGACUGCUGCAAAGGCACUCGUUGUUGAAUACCCUGUCCUUAGAGACACAAUUGGUACUGGUUGGGACUCUUGGAAAGUAUCCAUCCAGUAUAAAUUCGGGUACAUGCGAAGAACUCUGAGUACUGUGCCUGCUGUACAGGCAGCCAAGGAGGCCUACGGAAAACGGAAACCUCAAGAUAGUGCCGUUGCUGCACAAACUAAACGGCAACGCCGCGUGGUAGCAAUUUCUGUUUUUAAGUUCAUUUCAAUGUUUUACAAGUAACAUUUGCAUGUGGCUUAGCUCGCUAAUAACAGUCUACGGCUUCAUCAUCGCUUGAGUAAGUGAAGUGUUUUAGCACUAAAACGGCACUCCGCAUGAGCUGUCUUUUUCUGUUUCAACAAGCCCCAUUU